GACGAACGCUGGCGGCGUGCUUAACACAUGCAAGUCGAACGGAAAGGCCCUGCUUUUGUUGGGUUCUCGAGUGGCGAACGGGUGAGUAACACGUGAGUAACCUGCCCUUGACUUUGGGAUAACUUCAGGAAACUGGGGCUAAUACCGGAUAUGAUCUCCUGCUGCAUGGUGGGGGUUGGAAAGUUUCGGCGGUUGGGGAUGGACUCGCGGCUUAUCAGCUUGUUUGUGGGGUAGUGGCUUACCAAGGCUUUGACGGGUAGCCGGCCUGGGAGGGGUACCGGCCACAUUGGGACUGAGAGAGGGACCAGAAGCCUACGGGAGGCAGAAGUGGAGAAUAUUGCAGAAUGGGGGGAAGACUGAGGCAGAAACGCCGCGUGCGGGAUGACGGCUUUCGGGUUGUGAACAGAUUUCGCAUGUGACGAAGAGUGAGUGACGGUAAUGGGUAAAGAAGCAACGGCUAACUACGUG
rnacentral:rRNA from 1 species